UACGUAGGGUCCGAGCGUUGUCCGGAAUUAUUGGGCGUAAAGAGCUCGUAGGCGGUUUGUCGCGUCUGCCGUGAAAGUCCGGGGCUCAACUCCGGAUCUGCGGUGGGUACGGGCAGACUAGAGUGCAGUAGGGGAGACUGGAAUUCCUGGUGUAGCGGUGAAAUGCGCAGAUAUCAGGAGGAACACCGAUGGCGAAGGCAGGUCUCUGGGCUGUAACUGACGCUGAGGAGCGAAAGCAUGGGGAGCGAACAGG
rnacentral:rRNA from 1 species